rnacentral:rRNA from 1 species
ACGGAAGGCAGCAGUGAGGAAUAUUGGUCAAUGGACGCAAGUCUGAACCAGCCAUGCCGCGUGCAGGAAUAAGGCCCUAUGGGUCGUAAACUGCUUUUGUGGUGGAGCAAUAAGUCGUACGUGUACGGCGAUGAGAGUACAUCACGAAUAAGCAUCGGCUAACUCCGUGCCAGCAGCCGCGGUAAUACGGAGGAUGCAAGCGUUAUCCGGAUUUAUUGGGUUUAAAGGGUGCGUAGGCUGUGGUCCAAGUCAGGGGUGAAAGCCCGGAGCUCAACUCCGGAACUGCCUUUGAUACUGGAUUGCUGGAAUACUGUUGCCGUGGGAGGAAUGAGUAGUGUAGCGGUGAAAUGCAUAGAUAUUACUCAGAACACCGAUUGCGAAGGCAUCUCACGAAACAGCGAUUGACGCUGAGGCACGAAAGCGUGGGGAUCAAACAGGAUUAGAUACCCUGGUA